rnacentral:lncRNA from 1 species
GACGCGAAAGAAAACUGACUCUAGAUGUAGAGAAGGUCAAUGCAUCACGUCAAGAAGCCAAAUUGACAGAAGAAACUGCUAGAAUGUCUGGAUUACCUUACAGCUCCCAACCCUCCCACAAUUAGAGAAGAGCUCUGCACAGCUUGUUUGCCCCACCUUCACCGUGUGGAACAAGUGUCUGACGAUUAUCACUGGGCUCCCUAUCCCAGACCAUUUGG